rnacentral:rRNA from 1 species
AGUUCGGAUUGGAGUCUGCAACCCGACUCCAUGAAGCUGGAUUCGCUAGUAAUCGCGCAUCAGCCACGGCGCGGUGAAUACGUUCCCGGGCCUUGUACACACCGCCCGUCAAGCCAUGAGAGUUGGCAACACCCGAAGUCCGUAGUCUAACCGCAAGGGGGGCGCGGCCGAAGGUGGGUCCGGUAAUUGGGGUGAAGUCGUAACAAGGUAUC